rnacentral:piRNA from 1 species
UGGAUCUUCCACAUUUAACUUUGGACAGUC